AAUACGUUCCCGGACCUUGCACACACCGCCCGUCAAGCCAUGGAAGCUGGGUGUACCUAAAGUCGGUAACCGCAAGGAGCUGCCUAGGGUAAAACUAGUAACUAGGGCU
rnacentral:rRNA from 1 species